GGGGCGAUGGCGGAAUCGGCAGACGCAACGGACUUAAAAUCCGUCGGUAGUGAUACUGUGAGGGUUCGACCCCCUCUCGCCCCACCA
rnacentral:tRNA from 1 species